UUUUUUUUUUUUUUUUUUUUGCUAUACAACUCCCAUGUUUCCAGCUGAUUUAUUUAACUACAAAAACACUACAGUCUAAUUAAAUGUGCAUCAGUGUACACAGAGAUGGCCUUAAAAUGCUAGGAUAUUGCCUGACUUUUCUUCCACGAUAUCGUCUUCCAUCAGGAGAUUGUGUAGCCACUCCUGGCUUUGUACAAAUAUAGGUAUAAAAUGCAGAGAGAAAGCUGUCUGAGAAAUUCUGUUUGUUUGCAUCCCCAAUGGAUUCCAUGGGCAAUAUGGUGAGCCAAACCUUCAGGAGGCAGACUGUAGAAGUGCAGGAUACCUGAGGGGAAAGACCUGAGUUGAAAGUUUACCUUUCUUGAAAUGGAGGAUCAAAGAUCUGAAUGCCUCUGUCUGCAUCCCUUAUGCUUCCUGGAAAAAGACUCAGCUGCUGUCCAGAGGACCCAUGUUCAUCAAGGAACAUGACUUCCACAGUUCUGGUCAGAACACCUCCUUGUGCUCUGCAGUGAUUUGAGGCUGCCAGCACAUAUUCCAUGCCCCCUCCUUGAGGCGUGCUUUCACAGAUAGACCUUCUCUGAAAAAGCAUGGCAGCACAGGCUCAUACUGGGACCAAUUAGGUUUCACCAACAACACCAGCAGAGUGCCCUCUCACACAAUAGAGAAAUAAAUUUGGAGUAGCAGCCUUCCUAUCCCCAUGUCACCCCAUGGUGACAACCGAAGUAAUACAAGUGGUUUGCAAGUGGAUUGCUUAAUACAAGCAGCACCUAUGCUGAUAGGUUGAGUUGUUCAGGAAACACUUCUUUCCACACACAUCUGAGAACCUGAUCUAACACCACUCAGCCCAGAGCUGAAUCUGGCUUGGAAACUAUGUUGUUUCCUUGUACAGUAGAUUUCUCUGGGACAGGAGGCUGGCAUGGGAGUCUUCAUUGAGGAACUGUCCCAGGCAGAAAGGAUAAGGCUUGGCAUCAUCUUCCUGCCUAUUUCACAAACAUCCCUGUAUGUCAGCUGGGCACUUGAUACCUGGUCUGUCAGGGAUGCUCUCCAUAGCGAAGGUUGCUAGAACAAGGAACUUGCUGUCAGAUGGAUUUUAUUCCUUCUGGGGACUCCACACCUCUAAAGUGCUUUUGCAAUGGGAAACUUACCAUUGGAACCUUCUAUAGAGGGAUCUCUUUACACUGUUAGUCUCUCACAACGCCUUCAGGGUUUGGCAUUGUAAGCCCAUCUGAAAACCAGUCAUUUCAAAUAUUUUGAGGACCUAAGAACUUGUCCUUUCAAGUGCUUUUAGUGAUUUUGACCUGACUGUGAGCUAUUGUGACCAUGGAGUAUUGUUUCCUGAGGCCUGGCUGCAAGAGCUUCUUCUUUACAAGGAGCUAUUGUGAGGGAGGAAAGCAAAGGCAUUGUGUCCUCCAUGGUAAUAAUGAACUAAGUCUUCUUCCUCAUUACCCUCACAUAGAAUUAUCUUGUUCUGUGUGCUUUCAAUUUUUAAAGGUCUGACUGGUCAGAAAGACGACUAAUAUGAAGUGGCUCCAACUCCAGUGUGAAAAGGGAGUAUCUGUUGAAUGGCCAGUUGCUGCCCAUGUCCAGCAGCUGCAGCGUCCCAUGCCAGCAGGGCCAUUUGCAGGACGACCAAGCUCCCAUGCAGCUUGCAUGACAAACUGUGUGGUCAUUGGAUGAUAGCUCCCAUAACAAACUGUGUGGUUAGUAUGCUGCUUUCUGGGCAUGCCACAGGGACAGCACCUCACACCAGUGACCAACUCAUACUGACAAAAGACAGCAGGAAUCCCACAGUCAUCAUCUAACACAUGCUGGAUAUAUGCAGUUCAGGAAACCAAUCUCUUUUUCAGCAGUGCUUCUUUUAAGUGGAAUUAUGAUCGACCUACUGUAAAUGUAUUGGUUUGAAGAGGCUGCAGUAUACUAAGCUCUGCAUAAUGGAUGAGGAAAAGCUUUCCAUUUCUCCCUAUCUGAAGCAGAUGCACCCUACAGACCGUGCAUAAAAUAUAUAGGAACAACAUCAUGCUGGAA
ensembl:lncRNA